CGGAGGGAAACCGAGUCUUAACCGGGCGUUAAGUUGCAGGGUAUAGACCCGAAACCCGGUGAUCUAGCCAUGGGCAGGUUGAAGGUUGGGUAACACUAACUGGAGGACCGAACCGACUAAUGUUGAAAAAUUAGCGGAUGACCUGUGGCUGGGGGUGAAAGGCCAAUCAAACCGGGAGAUAGCUGGUUCUCCCCGAAAGCUAUUUAGGUAGCGCCUCGUGAAUUCAUCUCCGGGGGUAGAGCACUGUUUCGGCUAGGGGGCCAUCCCGGCUUACCAACCCGAUGCAAACUGCGAAUACCGGAGAAUGUUAUCACGGGAGACACACGGCGGGUGCUAACGUCCGUCGUGAAGAGGGAAACAACCCAGACCGCCAGCUAAGGUCCCAAAGUCAUGGUUAAGUGGGAAACGAUGUGGGAAGGCCCAGACAGCCAGGAUGUUGGCUUAGAAGCAGCCAUCAUUUAAAGAAAGCGUAAUAGCUCACUGGUCGAGUCGGCCUGCGCGGAAGAUGUAACGGGGCUAAACCAUGCACCGAAGCUGCGGCAGCGACGCUUAUGCGUUGUUGGGUAGGGGAGCGUUCUGUAAGCCUGCGAAGGUGGCCUGUGAGGGUUGCUGGAGGUAUCAGAAGUGCGAAUGCUGACAUAAGUAACGAUAAAGCGGGUGAAAAGCCCGCUCGCCGGAAGACCAAGGGUUCCUGUCCAACGUUAAUCGGGGCAGGGUGAGUCGACCCCUAAGGCGAGGCCGAAAGGCGUAGUCGAUGGGAAACGGGUUAAUAUUCCCGUACUUGGUGUUACUGCGAAGGGGGGACGGAGAAGGCUAUGUUGGCCGGGCGACGGUUGUCCCGGUUUAAGCGUGUAGGUGUGUGUUCCAGGUAAAUCCGGUUCACUUUAACACUGAGGCGUGACGACGAGGCACUACGGUGCUGAAGCAACAAAUGCCCUGCUUCCAGGAAAAGCCUCUAAGCAUCAGGUAACAUCAAAUCGUACCCCAAACCGACACAGGUGGUCAGGUAGAGAAUACCAAGGCGCUUGAGAGAACUCGGGUGAAGGAACUAGGCAAAAUGGUGCCGUAACUUCGGGAGAAGGCACGCUGACACGUAGGUGAAGUGAUUUACUCAUGGAGCUGAAGUCAGUCGAAGAUACCAGCUGGCUGCAACUGUUUAUUAAAAACACAGCACUGUGCAAACACGAAAGUGGACGUAUACGGUGUGACGCCUGCCCGGUGCCGGAAGGUUAAUUGAUGGGGUCAGCGCAAGCGAAGCUCCUGAUCGAAGCCCCGGUAAACGGCGGCCGUAACUAUAACGGUCCUAAGGUAGCGAAAUUCCUUGUCGGGUAAGUUCCGACCUGCACGAAUGGCGUAAUGAUGGCCAGGCUGUCUCCACCCGAGACUCAGUGAAAUUGAACUCGCUGUGAAGAUGCAGUGUACCCGCGGCAAGACGGAAAGACCCCGUGAACCUUUACUAUAGCUUGACACUGAACAUUGAGCCUUGAUGUGUAGGAUAGGUGGGAGGCUUUGAAGUGUGGACGCCAGUCUGCAUGGAGCCGACCUUGAAAUACCACCCUUUAAUGUUUGAUGUUCUAACGUGGACCCGUUACCCGGGUUGCGGACAGUGUCUGGUGGGUAGUUUGACUGGGGCGGUCUCCUCCUAAAGAGUAACGGAGGAGCACGAAGGUUGGCUAAUCCUGGUCGGACAUCAGGAGGUUAGUGCAAUGGCAUAAGCCAGCUUGACUGCGAGCGUGACGGCGCGAGCAGGUGCGAAAGCAGGUCAUAGUGAUCCGGUGGUUCUGAAUGGAAGGGCCAUCGCUCAACGGAUAAAAGGUACUCCGGGGAUAACAGGCUGAUACCGCCCAAGAGUUCAUAUCGACGGCGGUGUUUGGCACCUCGAUGUCGGCUCAUCACAUCCUGGGGCUGAAGUAGGUCCCAAGGGUAUGGCUGUUCGCCAUUUAAAGUGGUACGCGAGCUGGGUUUAGAACGUCGUGAGACAGUUCGGUCCCUAUCUGCCGUGGGCGCUGGAGAACUGAGGGGGGCUGCUCCUAGUACGAGAGGACCGGAGUGGACGCAUCACUGGUGUUCGGGUUGUCAUGCCAAUGGCACUGCCCGGUAGCUAAAUGCGGAAGAGAUAAGUGCUGAAAGCAUCUAAGCACGAAACUUGCCCCGA
rnacentral:rRNA from 1 species